rnacentral:rRNA from 1 species
AUUUGUGCACAAUUUAAUAGAUUCAUUUAAUAAAUGUAAUUAUAAUUACUGUUAAGUCCAUCUUUUGUAUUUAUUACAUUAAUACAUCCGUUAAAAACCAAAAAUGUAACUCGCCUAUUCCGUGUAAUGGUCUGCACCUUGAUCUGUCUUUUUAAUUGGUAUUACAGCGGUAUAACUUCUAGUGAUACCUGACGACGACGGCAUACAGGAAUUUUACACGGUUGAUUACCUUGGUGGUUGUCAUUUAUAUGGUAAGUUCCCCUAAAUUAAAAUUACCGCCAUGUUGUUUAAGUUUUAACUUUUAAAGUUGUAAUCCUCUGCAAAUAGGUUAAGCAUUUGUAUAGAGGGGUAUCUAAUCCCUGUUUAUCACUAAUGUUUCGAAUAAGCGUCACGCAGGUAGAGUUACAAAUUGACAUAUUUUACCAUUUGUGAAUAGUACGGGCGUGCUAUGUUGCGGAAUCUCUCUUUUACUAAAGUAUGACCGC